UACGAAGGGGGCUAGCGUUGUUCGGAUUUACUGGGCGUAAAGCGCACGUAGGCGGAUCGAUCAGUCAGGGGUGAAAUCCCAGAGCUCAACUCUGGAACUGCCUUUGAUACUGUCGAUCUGGAGUAUGGAAGAGGUGAGUGGAAUUCCGAGUGUAGUGGUGGAAUGCGUAGAUAUCGGGAGGAACACCAGUGGCGAAAGGCACUCUGCUGGGCCGACACUGACACUGAGAGACGAAAGCUAGGGGAGCAAAUGGG
rnacentral:rRNA from 1 species